rnacentral:rRNA from 1 species
UUGAACGCUGGCGGCAGGCCUAACACCUGCAAGUCGCGCGGAUGAAGGGAGCUUGCUCCUGGAUUCAGCGGCGGACGGGUGAGUAAUGCCUAGGAAUCUGCCUGGUAGUGGGGGAUAACGUCCGGAAACGGGCGCUAAUACCGCAUACGUCCUGAGGGAGAAAGUGGGGGAUCUUCGGACCUCACGCUAUCAGAUGAGCCUAGGUCGGAUUAGCUAGUUGGUGGGGUAAAGGCCUACCAAGGCGACGAUCCGUAACUGGUCUGAGAGGAUGAUCAGUCACACUGGAACUGAGACACGGUCCAGACGCCUACGGGAGGCAGCAGUGGGGAAUAUUGGACAAUGGGCGAAAGCCUGAUCCAGCCAUGCCGCGUGUGUGAAGAAGGUCUUCGGAUUGUAAAGCACUUUAAGUUGGGAGGAAGGGCAGUAAGUUAAUACCUUGCUGUUUUGACGUUACCAACAGAAUAAGCACCGGCUAACUUCGU